UGAGGAAUAUUGGACAAUGGGCGCAAGCCUGAUCCAGCAAUGCCGCGUGCAGGAUGAGGGCCUUCGGGUUGUAAACUGCUUUUGUACGGAGCGAAAAGGUCUGCCCUAAUACGGUGGGCUCAUGACGGUACCGUAAGAAUAAGCACCGGCUAACUACGUGCCAGCAGCCGCGGUAAUACGUAGGGUGCGAGCGUUAAUCGGAAUUACUGGGCGUAAAGCGUGCGCAGGCGGUUAUAUAAGACAGAUGUGAAAUCCCCGGGCUCAACCUGGGACCUGCAUUUGUGACUGUAUAGCUAGAGUACGGUAGAGGGGGAUGGAAUUCCGCGUGUAGCAGUGAAAUGCGUAGAUAUGCGGAGGAACACCGAUGGCGAAGGCAAUCCCCUGGACCUGUACUGACGCUCAUGCACGAAAGCGUGGGGAGCAAACA
rnacentral:rRNA from 1 species